rnacentral:rRNA from 1 species
UACGGGGGAUGCGAGCGUUAUCCGGAUUUAUUGGGUUUAAAGGGUGCGUAGGCGGACUGUCAAGUCAGCGGUAAAAUUGAGAGGCUCAACCUCUUCCCGCCGUUGAAACUGGUGGUCUUGAGUGGAAGAGAAGUAUGCGGAAUGCGUGGUGUAGCGGUGAAAUGCAUAGAUAUCACGCAGAACCCCGAUUGCGAAGGCAGCAUGCCGGCUUCCUACUGACGCUGAAGCACGAAAGCGUGGGGAUCGAACAGG